GCUUUGAAAAGACACUUCCCACUGAAUGAUGGGAGUUAUUCAUGAAAAUAACUGGACUGAUUUCUUUAGGCCGUCUAGACGCUCAUCGCUGCAGCAAUGACGUCAUCAUUGAGAAGAAAACCUGACUGUGAAUCUGUGCAUCCAUUCAACAGCAGUGAAAACUCAACUUUACUGUUCAAAAACUCUAAAUGAUUCAGUCUUCACUUUUCUACAUGAGCUCCACCAACUUUAAAAAUCCUCGUCUGAACUCUUUCACCUAUUUCAUCCUGUCCAGUUCAAUAUAAUCUGACCAACAAGCACCCUCUUAGAUAUUGUCAGAUCAGGCACUUUAUUCAGAAGCAGUUCUCACAUUUCCUUGAUGGUUUGUUACUCAAACUCUGAACCAAAAGAGGAUCAUAUCUGUCAUGGACAACAGAACUGAGGCCUUGAACCCACCCUCCACUCCAUCUGAUCAGAGCUCCUGGGAGCCUGAUCUGGGACUUGCUCCUUCAAAUGAACUAUAGUGCAGCAGACUGUGACUGGUGACAGUAGAAACAUUACUGUGUUGUACCUUUACCAUGUGACACUGAGAGAAUGACGGACUCUGAGUUCGCACAACAGCUUCUGGUUCCUUCAGACUAACUGAUGUUGUCUCUCACUGUUAUUACAAACAAAGGUGAUAAUCAAUAAUCCAUAGUUACGACAAGAUCAACACUAUCAAACUAGUGAGAACUUAAGUGUUUGUAUAGAGGUGUGGCAAGGGGGUGCUAUUUUAUUCAAAAAUAGAGAAUAUUGUCUCCAACCAGCAACGCCACCUGGGGACUUGCACCCCAGGAAACUGAACUUUCAAACUAAAACAGGAAGCUAAAAUAAAAAUAAAGGCAACACAGGUAAGUUCUGAAGAGGCAGAGACAGAGUUCAAAAUAUUUCAAAAUGUUUAUUAGAUGAAAAAAAAAUGAAGUUAAACGUAAAUAUAACUGAGAAUUUUAACCUAGGAGGGAAAGAAAGGGAUAAAGUUAAAACAACAUAACAAAACACAGAUAAGGGGCAAGAAAGUUAAUUUUAUUUCUAUAAUAAAAUUUAAAACAAGGCCUUCUACAAAAGUUAAAAAGUACAAUAACCCCAACUUAAACUAAAUCAAAGAAACCCAAACUAAGUUAACUUAAGAUAAGCUGAGGCCACCAGAAGGGAGGCAGACUACAGAGGGAAAGUGCAGGGGGGUGCUCCCUUAUACUCACCAAGUGAAGCACAGCACACACACUGCAAACCUUCAACAAAAGAAACAAAAUCGGUGUAGUCUUGUGACCCGGUGCCAAACUCAUGCAAAGGUGGAGGGCCCUCACCCGGGGUGCCUAGCCUCCCAAACUAGUGGGCUCAACCUCUGAAAUAAAAUAAAAGGAUUAACCAAAGAAACAAACAAACAAACCAGCGAACCCAGUUGGUAAAACUAGAGGGAACUAAGGAGAAAAGCAACUAAGGGUAACUAAGAACAGAAUGCAAACUAAUGGGGGAGUAACUGUGUAAAACAACCAAACUUAGAAGUAGAAACAAACCAAGUAAGGGGGGAAACCAAUCAAAAGGGCAGAAACAAUCAAAGUAAACAGGCAAAAAUAACUACAAUUAAUGGGGGCAACAAAACAGCAGCAGGUCUACCACCUACAAACAAAAAGGACAUGCUGUUAAAAGCAAUCAUAAAACUCUAAAGAUUAAAAGUUACCAGCCACCCUACUCACCAGCACUCUGAGCAGAUCAGAAGGCCUACUGCAGGUGAGCUGCUGCCUUUUGUUCAGCUGACCUGAUUAGGGGAAGGGAGGGGUUAGAGGAGGAGGGAGAGCUGCAUUCAAUAGCAGCAAGGUGCUGCCUGCCACAGAGGGAUGAAGACUAAAGAUUUCCUUUAUGUGGAAGAAAAUAGGGACACUGUAAAAUAUCAGUUUGUACCUGAAGUUGUGUUUCACUGUGAGACCAAACUGGAGUUAAUAAUGAAGAUAAAUUAUGAGAAAAUUAAGCAAAAUAUGUGAAAACCAAAAAACAUGAAGGUGACAUUAAUUUUCUCUCUGAGAGGAGGAGUCAAUGCAAAGUCAGCCGUCUUCCUCCUCUACUUCAGUGAGUGCAGAGAGGAGGACAGAGGACAGUGGACACUCAGUUUGACAUGAUGGACUAUAGGACAGGACUGCUGCUUCUGACUGUCUGCUGGACAGGUGGAGAUCAUCACUAAUCUGAGUUGGACUUUUUCACCUCAUGACAACAAACUCACUUCAAUCUGUUGGUUUUUUUCUUCUGUCUUUUCAGGUGUUGGUGGUCAGACUCUGACUGAAUCUGAGCCGGUGGUUUAACGUCCUGGAGAAUCCCACAGACUGACCUGUACAGCCUCUGGAUUCACAUUCAGUGGCUCAUAUAUGGCCUGGAUAAGACAGGCUCCUGGAAAAGGACUGGAGUGGAUGGCCUGGAUUAAUACUGGUAGUAGUAGCAUCUACUACUCUGAGUCAGUUAGAGGCCGGUUCACCAUCUCCAGAGACGACAGCAGACAGCAGCUGUAUCUGCAGAUGAACAGUCUGAAGACUGAAGACUCUGCUGUUUAUUACUGUGCCAGAGACCCACAACAACACAAACCAUCUGUAGAGCUGAACAAAAACCCCUCAGAGCCUGAACACCUGUGACAUGAAGCCACCAGAGGAGGAGCCCUCAGACCAACAAUCAUCAUAAUGACUCUGUAAACUGUCAGAACUGUGACUCAUAUCUAAAGUACAAUCAUUUAAAUAAUGUAUUUUACUGAACUUGAUCAAACUGACAUUUAAAAACACAUAGCUGUCAAGUAUUUAUCUAUGAAUGAAUGAAUAAAUACAGUGGAUAUAAAAAGUCUACACACUCCUGUUUAACUGCCAGAUUUAAAUCAAGAUAAAUAAUUUCACAACUUUCCACGUUUAAUGUGACCUAUAACCUGUACAACACAAUUAAAAAACAAACAGAAAUCUUUCAGGGAGGUGAAGUAAAAAUAAACAACUGAGAUCAUGUGGUUGCAUUAGUGUGUACACCCUUUAAUAACUGGGGAUGUAGCUGUGUUCAGAUUUAACCAAUAACAUUCAAACUCAGGUUAAACUGGAGUCAGCACACACCUGUCACCAAUUACAGUGACUCUGAUUAACGUUAAAGUUCAGCUGUUCUAGUAGCUUUUCCAGACAUUUUUUAGACACAUCUUCCAGCACAAGCCAUGGUCCGCAGAGAGCUUCCAAAGAACCAGAGGGAUCUCAUUAUUCAAAGAUCUCAGUCAGGUGAGGGCUACAAAAUAAUUUACAAGGAAUCAAAUAUACCAUGGAACACAGUGAAGACCGUCAUCAUCAAGUGGAGAAAAUAUGGAACAACGGUGACAUUACCAAGAACAGGACGUCCGUCAAAAAUUGAUGAAAAGACAAGAAGAAAACUGGUCAGGGAGGAUACCAAGAGGCCGACAGCAACACUGAAGGAGCUGCAGGAAUUUCUAGCUUCAAGUACUGGCUGUGUAGAACAUGAGACAACAAUCUCCUGCUGUCUUCAUAUGUCUGGGCUAUGGGGUAGAGGGGCAAGAUGGAAGUCUUAUCUUUCAAAGAAAAA